GCAUCUUUAGCGGUGCGCGACUAAACUAAAUUACAUAGCGCACUAUCAUUACGGGGAACCUUACCGGGCGCUGCUAACCGGGAUAGUAAAAUAGGAGCGCUGCUUUGGAAAAGCAUCGGGUGAGCAAAUUUAGCCACCCGAUAGUUGCGCAAGUGACAGCUGCUAUUUCACAAAGUGCCAUCGAUGCUAUCUGUUGUUUUUAACUUGUAGUUUGUUUGCCGUGGUGUUUUUGUUGUUUGGUGCGCAGCAAAGAACAUGAGUGCAUCCAAAUCCCGCGGAAAAAACUGGAGUGUAGAAGCAUAGCAUAGCAUAGCAUAGCAUAGACUGACUGCACAUGUCAAUGGUUGCUACUCCGUGAUUGAUCGGAACUGAACAUGAGUGCAUCCAAAUCCCGCGGAAAAAACUGGAGUGUAGAAGCAUAGCAUAGCAUAGCAUAGCAUAGACUGACUGCACAUGUCAAUGGUUGCUACUCCGUGAUUGAUCGGAACUGGUAAGAACUGCACUACGAUCCAAAUGAA